AAAGGGUCCCCUGUCUACCAGAGCAGAGCCUCCCUCUCCAAGGCUCUGUUGCUCCCCCUCUCUAGCUCCCUCACCCUCUCCCUUUCUCUACUUCCCUCUCCACCUUGCUCUCUCUCUCUCUCGCAGUUUCCCCGUCCCUCUCUGUCUCUCUCUCUAUCGCUGUUUCUCUCUCUCCUUCCGUUUCUAUCUCUCCAUCCCUCUGUCCCUUGCUCUUCUUCAAGCUGUCUGUGUCUUUGUGUGUCUGCGUGUAUGCUUGUGUUCCCGCGCGUGCGCCCGUAUGUGUCUGUUUGGGAGUGGGUUUGCUAGUGAUUGUGGUGGGGUGUGUCUGGAUGUCCGUCAGUACCUUUGUCCUGGGAUCAGGCUGCCAACUCUAUUGCCAGCGCGUGGGUGUCAUAGUUGCCGUGAUAGUCUCACACACGCAGGUGUGUGGAUCUCGUUCAUUUUCAUGUAGACAAUGAGAGCGAAAGCACAGAGAAAAAGAAACGUCCCGUGCAUCACGGCCUGAGGAUGGAUUCCUGUUUUCUGCAAAAUGGGGAGUCUUCGAUAUAGCCUGUUUGAAAACUGGAAAGGAGAGCACCGACACGAUGCUGGUCUUCCACGCAUUCCUGGAAGUUUCUGGGUCCCCACAGAGCUCGGGAAACAGUCAACAUGGUCACGCUUUCCGGGGGCGGCAGAGACUUGAGUAACAGGCACCUUUGCAGAGAGCAAAGAAACGUGGAAUCCAGAAUCACGCUUCACUUGGCCUGAGCGUGACUUCUGUGUGGAUGGGACUAUCCGCCUCGCGCUCUGUUGCAGGGCUAAACGUGGGGAUAUGUCAUCUGUGAACCAUGUGGAUGAAAAACAGACAACCACCCGAGUCUCCGCUCAUUGCUCUCUGGGGAAUUCGCUCAUUCCUUCGGAAACGGAAUUCGUCUGAAUCGCUCUGGGAUGAAGUAACCCAGGCUGGCGAUCCGGAGGGCCGCUGAGCUCCCCACCGGCCAACGGGGCUGUGGGCCCAGCACUUAGCCCGCACUGGGCACCCAACAUUUUCCCGGAUUGCUGGGUCCUGUUGGUUCUGGAGGCAGAAGACCGUUUUUCUGUCUGCCUUCGGUUCUCUGUUUCUUGCUCCUUUUGUCCCUCGGUCCAUCCUGCCCUCUGUUCUUCCCUCCCUGCCCUGGUUUUUUCCUCCCUUUCUCCCUCUCUCCCUCUUCCUCUCCCUUCCAGGGUCCCUCCGUCCAUCCAUCCUUUCCUAGCUCCAUCCUUCCGUCCCACUCUGUCUCCGUUCCUGUCCUCAUCUCUGCCUGCCUUCCCUCUUGCCUGGAAAGGGCAGCACCCCGGUUUGCGCGGGGUCUCGGGUCUACAUUUAGUUGCAAGGCGCUCCAUGGUGCUGGCGAGGAGGCUGGUGGGACACGGGUUGGCAAGUGAUAGUGAGAGAAGAGGCAGAGGAAUCGAGCCGCAGAAAGGAGAACUGGCCUGGCUUCUGCCCCGACCCAGUGUUUCGCGGACUGAGGUCUCCGCCAACCCGACUGAAGAACGCGGGGGGAAAAGGGAUGCGAGCUCCGCCUGGGCUGGUUAGAAAACCUAAGCUGUUGCCUGCAAACCCCCGCAUGAGCAGUAGACAGUCCACCUCCCGGUACGUGGACGGGCCCUGGGAUCCCCGGGAUGCUCAGGAAAGAAUGACAGCCCUCCUCUGUGUGGAGUCUCUCGCCGGACCUGGAACCCAGGGAUCCUAGACAGGUCAACUGGAAGGGAAGACACGCCUCUCCAUACCGAGCCAGAGGUUCACCGCCAAAGAGAGGCCGCCGCCCUGCCCCCGCCCCGCCCCAACCCGGCGUCCUAAAGCUCCUCCAGCAGAGCCCCGUGUUCUUCCUGGCUGAGGAGUGGUUCCAGCGGAGCAGGCUCUUCCACCUCCUUCAGCUCCCCCAGUGACACCGGAUCUAGGAAAGGUUGUGCCUUUUGCUGAAAGUCUGGGGUUGACGGGAGCUCAUCUAACAGGCUGGAGUUUUCAGGCAGAAACCACCCUGAAGGGUGGAGUGUGGAACUGAACUUCCAUGACAGUCUUGAGUUUUCCAUGCCCUCUCCGUGAAGGCGGCAAUGCCUGUGGGUGUCGCCGUUGCCGUGAUAGUCUCACACACGCAGUGGUGUGGAACUCGUUCAUUUUCAUGUAGAAAACGAGAGCGAAACUACAGAGAAAAGAAACGUCCCGUGCAUCACGGCCUGACCACGGAUUCCUGUUUCCUGCAACAAGGGAAGUCUCCACUGUGGCCUGUUUGGAAACUGGAAAGGAGAGCGAAGACAGGAUGCUGCUUUUCCACGCUUCGCUGGAGGUUUCUGGGUCCCCACAGAGCUCGGGAAACAGUCAACAUGGUCACGCUUUUGGGGGCCGGAGACACGUGAACAACAGGCCCCCUUGCAGAGGGCAAAGGAACGUGGAACCCAGAAUCAUGGUUCACUCGGUCUGAGUGUGACUCUUGAAUGGACGGGACUAUCCACCUCGCGCUCUGUUGCAGGCUCAACGUGGGGCUAUGUCAUCUGUGAACCAUGUGGAUGAAAAACGGACAAUCACCCGAGUCUCAGCUCACUGCUCUCUGGGCAAUUCGCUCAUUCCUUGGGAGGCGGAAUUCGUCUGAAUCGCUCCGGGAUGAAGUGACCCAGGCUGGCGAUCCGGAGGGCCCGUGCGCGCCCCGCAGGCAGACGUGGCUGUGGGCCGAGCACUCAGCCUGCACUGGGCACCCAACAUUUUCCCGGAGUGCGAGGUCCUGCUGGUCCUGGAGGCAGAAGACCGCUUUUCUCUCUGCCUUCUUCUCUCUGUCUCUUGCUCCCUUUCUCUCUCUGUCCUUCCCUUCCUCCCUCCCCCCCCACCUCCCUUCCUCCCCCUCCCUACUUUCUCCUUUCCAAUAUCCCUCUGUCCAUCUGUCCUUUUCUCGCUCCAUUCCUCCCUUUCUCUCUGUUUCUGUUCCUCUCCCCAUCUCUAUUUUUCAACAUUAUAUGAUCCCAUUGUGUGUAUCUGUGUUAACAUUUUUAGCAAUAAAGUUCAUUUUCAUU
rnacentral:lncRNA from 1 species